UAGUGUGGGGUUGCUAGGGAAGAAUAAUACAUAAUUGGCCAAUCAGUAUCGAUGAAUUUAAUGUCUUUGGGGCGCCAGAAUUUCACCUCGUAAAGUUUCGGGACCCCAUGGCGAUGAAGUUGAUAAUGGUGGCAGUCGGUGGAAAGCUUGCUCAGACAGAAUCCCCACCUUGAAUGACAAUGUCUGCUGCUAUUAUAAUGUUAAUGUUUGGUUCAAGAUGGCCGUCCUGCUGUGGUGUUGGACAAGGAGGAGCUGAAGUCUUCUUUGAUGCACCUCCGCUGCAACUGUCAUCGACUCUGUUUCUGAGUGGUAUCGUUGUCAUGGGCCCCAUCAUUGUCCUCCACUCUAUCAGUCAGCGCUGUUUACAUUCUGGUGAUUUUUGCCUUGAAUCGCUCUUGCGGAAAUGUGACCUUGACUGGAAUGCGUGCAUCUUUUAAACCCGAAGAGGAAGGAGAAGGCUCUUUGAAAGUCUUGUCUUUCAUGCCACGAGACAGGAGGCUGUCUGAACUUUUUAUUUUUUUUUAUUUUUUUGACCAGUCGUU